CUACGGGUCGCUGCAGUGGGGAAUUUUGGACAAUGGGCGAAAGCCUGAUCCAGCCAUUCCGCGUGAGUGAUGAAGGCCUUCGGGUUGUAAAGCUCUUUCGGCCGGGAAGAAAUCGUGCAGGCUAAUAUCCUGCAUGGAUGACGGUACCGGAUCAAGAAGCACCGGCUAACUACGUGCCAGCAGCCGCGGUAAUACGUAGGGUGCGAGCGUUAAUCGGAAUUACUGGGCGUAAAGCGUGCGCAGGCGGAUGUUUAAGCCAGAUGUGAAAUCCCCGGGCUUAACCUGGGAAUGGCAUUUGGAACUGGACAUCUAGAGUGUGUCAGAGGGGGGUGGAAUUCCACGUGUAGCAGUGAAAUGCGUAGAGAUGUGGAGGAACACCGAUGGCGAAGGCAGCCCCCUGGGAUAACACUGACGCUCAUGCACGAAAGCGUGGGGAGCAAACAGGAUUAGAUACCCUGGUAGUC
rnacentral:rRNA from 1 species